UAAUACUUGAAAAUUGGGCAAGAGCCUAAAUUUUUCAAAAAUUAUUUGAAUCAAAAUAAAGAAAUAGUAGAAUUAUAACUUAUAUUGUUAUCCAAGAGAAUCCAUUUGCAUCAAUGUCUCAAAUAUCUUCAAGUUGGGAUUGUUAAUUUCCAUCUUCAAUGCAGUCUAUUUUUUUCAUGGCAGGCUUCUUCUUUUUUGGUUGGCUGCUAAAUGUUUGAAGACUAACUUGAAAAAACCCUUUGGGAGGCGGCAGAGCUAAAAAUGACUUUCAACUUUUUCUGGUAUCUAUUCCUAAAAAAAGUAAUCUGCAAUUACCAUUUAAAAGCAUCAAUAUUUACAAAUAGCCAAAUACACAAAUAAAAUAAAAUAUUAAAUACACAUCUUUAAAUCAAAUAACUUUAAAAAGUAAUCAUGUAACUUUGAAUCAACUGUUGUUAAAAAGAAAUAAACUUUAAAGCAAAAUAAAUAAAAAAAUCCCAAAUACCUUCUCAAAAUAUGUACAUGCUAAUCAUUCUCCUUUCAUAAUCUUCUUGCUGAAGUUUCCUUUCAAUUUUGACUAAUUUGUUUUAGGACUUCUUUUGUUCAUAGAAAGGGGGUCGACAAACAAAAUGAGAAAGCUGAAUUUUUUUACUUGACUAAAAGGGUUGACUUUUAAGUUCUUU
rnacentral:lncRNA from 1 species